CGUAGGUGGCAAGCGUUGUCCGGAAUUAUUGGGCGCAAAGCGCGCGCAGGCGGUCUUUUAAGUCUGAUGUGAAAGCCCCCGGCUCAACCGGGGAGGGUCAUUGGAAACUGGAGGACUUGAGUGCAGAAGAGAAGAGCGGAAUUCCACGUGUAGCGGUGAAAUGCGUAGAGAUGUGGAGGAACACCAGUGGCGAAGGCGGCUCUUUGGUCUGUAACUGACGCUGAGGCGCGAAAGCGUGGGGAGCAAACAGGAUUAGAUACCCUGGUAGUCCACGCCGUAAACGAUGAGUGCUAAGUGUUAGAGGGUUUCCGCCCUUUAGUGCUGCAGCUAACGCAUUAAGCACUCCGCCUGGGGAGUACGGCCGCAAGGCUG
rnacentral:rRNA from 1 species